CCUACGGGAGGCAGCAGUCGAGAAUUAUUCACAAUGGGGGAAACCCUGAUGGUGCGACGCCGCGUGGGGGAAUGAAGGUCUUCGGAUUGUAAACCCCUGUCAUGUGGGAGCAAAUUAAAAAGAUCGUACCACACGAGGAAGAGACGGCUAACUCUGUGCCAGCAGCCGCGGUAAUACAGAGGUCUCAAGCGUUGUUCGGAAUUACUGGGCGUAAAGCGUGCGUAGGCUGUUUCGUAAGCCGUGUGUGAAAGGCGCGGGCUCAACCCGCGGACGGCACAUGAUACUGAGAGACUAGAGUAAUGGAGGGGGAACCGGAAUUCUCGGUGUAGCAGUGAAAUGCGUAGAUAUCGAGAGGAACACUCGUGGCGAAGGCGGGUUCCUGGACAUUAACUGACGCUGAGGCACGAAGGCCAGGGGAGCGAAAGGGAUUAGAUACCCCUGUAGUC
rnacentral:rRNA from 1 species